UUUUUUUCCCCAUAGAGUUCAGCUUUGUUUGCCUCGUGACGUUGGGGGCCAAGUUUCUCCUUUGAAGGAAAAAGAAAGCUACCAAGUUUUGGGAGAUGGGAGAUGGUGGUACACGGUCUUUAGAGUUAGGUGAAGUCAAGUAAAAUCGCACACUGGGAAGAGGUGGAUCAAGAUGGUGGAAUAGAAGGCUCCACCACUCAUCCCCUUCACAUGAACACCAAUUUAACAACUAUCUGCAUGCACCCACACACAA